CCGAGUAGCUGGGACUACAGGCGUCUGCCACCUCGCCUGGCUAGUUUUUGUAUUUUUUAGUAGAUACGGGGUUUCACCGUGUUAGCCAGGAUCUUUUUCUUUUUUGAGACAGGGUCUCACUCUGUCACCCAGGCUGGAGUGCAGGGGCGUGAAUGCAGCUCACUGCAGCCUCAACCUCCUGGGCUCAAGUGAUUCUCCCACCUCAACUGGGAUCACAGUUGUGAAUUUUCUGUAGAGACGGGAAUCUCGCCAUGUUGCCCAGGCUGGUCUCAAAUUCUUCACCUCAAAUGAUGCUCCCACCUUGGCCUCCCAAAGUGCUGGGAUUAUAAACAAGAACCACCAUGCCCAGCCUCACUUUUUUUGUUGUUAUUUGUAAAAAAAAAUGUUAAAGAAGAGACAUGGUAGAGUGUAGUGGUUGAAAGUGCAGACUCCAGGCUGGGUGGUGGCUCACACCUGUAAUCCCAGCACUUUGGGAGGCUGAGGCAGGCAGAUCACCUGAAGUCAGGAGUUCAAGACUAGCCUGGCCAACAUAGUGAAACUCUGUCUCUAGAAAAAUACAAACAUUAGCCAGGCAUGAUGGCGGGUGCCUGUAAUCCCAGCUACUCAGGAGGCUGAGGCCCAAGAAUCACUUGAACCCGGGAGGCGGAGGUUGCAGUUAGCCAAGAUCACACUAUUGCACCCCAGCCUGGGUGACAGAGUGAGACUCCAUUUCAGGGAAAAAAAAAAAAAGGAAAGUAAGUGCAGACUCCAGAGCCCAAUAACCUGGGUGUGGACCAUAACUGUCUACUCCUAACUGCUUUGAUGGUGGGAAGUCAGUUUAUCUGUCUCUGUGCCUCAGUUUCCACAACUGUGAAAUGGGCAUCAGUACUGUAUCUACGUCACAGGGUCAUUACAAGAAUGAAAUGAGCAAAUAUGAAUGAAGUGUUUAGAAAUGGGCCUUACUCCAUGUCAACUCUAUGCAGGUAUGAUUGGUCCUUGCUGAAGGAAUGAAAUUCCGUGUCAGUCAAUCGGUUAUUGCCAGGCCCAGGCCCAGGCUGGUCAGAGCUCUGGCCUAUUGGGCCCACACAGGGUGUGGCAGGGCAGCCAGUGUCAGCACAUCCAAAGUCCCCCGGCCUGCUGAGUUGGCAGAGGGCCUGCCCUGACACUCCCCAGCCCCAAAGAACAUCCUAGAAAGGAGACUGGGGCUUCCUUAGGUGUCAGUGGGUAGAGGGAACAGGAGAUUGGGAGCCCCUAACCGUGGUUGAGACCCUCCCACAGCCCUCGCUGUGUGGCCAGGCCUGGCACGGGGCAGUGGCACGUGUUUUCCAUGGCAUAUGGAGGGUAUGAGGGUGCAGGACUUACUCCAGGGGGGCUAUAGUCACAUAUGUGUGCUUAUGGGGGCUCAAAAUAUUCCAGCCCACGGGCACUUUCCUGCUCUGACUAGAACCCAUAGCAGCAAGUCCAGGCCAGUCCGUCUGGCACUAAUUCUGAGCUAACUUAUACUUCUAAUGAUUUCAUCCAGAAAGUCAGUCAGUCAGUCAACAUACAUUUUUGGAGGCCCUAUUGCAUGUCACACCAUUAAAGUGGAGGUACACAGAGAUCUCUGUCUUGAAGGAUUGGAUCAUUGCACUGAGAAAGGGGUUCCUGGCUACAGGCAUUGUGUGCGCCAAGGCACAGUGGAAAGGGAAAGCCUGCCCAAGGUGGGAAAUGUGGCCGAAGGGAGGGC
ensembl:lncRNA